GAGUGAAGCUGCUCUCUGCUGGACUGGGGAAUCCCCACUGUAAACUGGAGACUCUGAGGCUGUCAGGCUGUCUAGCCACAGAGGAAGGCUGUGCUUCUCUGGUCUCAGUUCUCAGUUCAAACCCCUCACACAUGAGAGAGCUGGAUCUGAGUAACAAUGACCUGAAGGAUUCAGGAGUGAAGCUGCUCUCUGCUGGACUGGGGAAUCCCCACUGUAAACUGGAGACUCUGAGGCUGUCAGGCUGUCUAGUCACAGAGGAAGGCUGUGCUUCUCUGGUCUCAGCUCUGA